rnacentral:rRNA from 1 species
GACGAACGCUGGCGGCAUGCUUAACACAUGCAAGUCGAACGGAGUGGCGAACGGGUGAGUAACCCGUUGGUGACCUUCCCUGCACUUCGGGAUAAUCCUCGGAAGCUGGGUCUAAUACCGGAUAGUGUGGGAUGGGCCCGCGGCCUAUCAGCUUGGUGGUGGGGUAAUGUCCUACCAAGGCGGCGACGGGUAGCCGGCCUGAGAGGGUGGACGGUCACAUUGGGACUGAGACACGGCCCAGACUCCGACGUGAGGCAGCAGUGGGGAAUAUUGCACAAUGGGCGGAAGACUGAUGCAGCGACGCCGCGUGGGGGAUGACGGCCUUCGGGUUGUAAACUCCUUUCACCAUCGACGCGGUAGAUGGAGAAGAAGCACCGGCUAACUACGUGCCAGCAGCCGCGGUAAUAC